rnacentral:rRNA from 1 species
AACGAACGCUGGCGGCAUGCCUAACACAUGCAAGUCGAACGGGAUCCUGGUUUCGGCCAGGUGAGAGUGGCGGACGGGUGAGUAACGCGUGGGAACCUGCCCAGUGGUGGGGGAUAACUGCGGGAAACUGCAGCUAAUACCGCAUGAGCCCGCAAGGGGAAAGAUUGAUCGCCAUUGGAGGGGCCCGCGUUCGAUUAGGUAGUUGGUGAGGUAACGGCUCACCAAGCCUACGANCGAUAGCUGGUCUGAGAGGAUGAUCAGCCACACUGGGACUGAGAUACGGCCCAGACUCCUACGGGAGGCAGCAGUGGGGAAUAUUGGACAAUGGGGGCAACCCUGAUCCAGCAAUGCCGCGUGAGUGAUGAAGGCCUU